AAGUCGUAACAAGGUUUCCGUAGGUGAACCUGCGGAAGGAUCAUUAUUGAAUAAAAACUUGUACAGGCUGUUUUGCUGGUCUCUGCGAAUGGGACAUGUGCACGCUUGUCAUUUUUAUUUUAUCCAUCUGUGCACGUAUUGUAGAUCUGGUUUGUGAAGAAUUCGCUAUGGCUGUUUGCCUUGUGAUUCUGUCAGAUCUAUGUUAUUUUUCACAACCCAAUUAUUAUGAAUAGAAGAAAGCUUUUUAAUAUAUAUAUACAACUUUCAGCAAUGGAUCUCUUGGCUCUUGCAUCGAUGAAGAACGCAGCGAAAUGCGAUAAGUAAUGUGAAUUGCAGAAUUCAGUGAAUCAUCGAAUCUUUGAACGCAUCUUGCGCUUCUUGGUAUUCCAAGGAGCAUGCCUGUUUGAGUGUCAUUACAACUCUUCAACUGCAUCAGUAUUUCAUUAUUGGUGUUAGAUUGAGUGAUGGGGGAUAAAUUGUACUUGUGGGCCCAAUGUUUCAUUAAAAAAAUGAAACAAGGUCUGCUCCCCUGAAAUGAAUUUGCAGUAAUCUGAGCAGGUGUGAUAAUUAUCUAUGCCUUUUGAGUGCUCUGCACGAAGCAGAUAAACGCUGUAGUAAAAAUAUUUUCUUGACAAGCUUGACCUC
rnacentral:rRNA from 1 species